rnacentral:piRNA from 1 species
AGACUGAGAAUUCUUGCCCCAAC